GAUUAUUACGUUACUAAUCGCGCAUAAUGCAUUAGUAUCUUAGUCUUUUACAAUUAACUAAUGUAACAAAAGGCAACAUUCAUUUUGUAGUUGUUUUUGUUUUAACGUUAUUAUCGUUGGUGUAUUCUAGAUUUCCUCCUGAUUGGGGCGCGAGACGAUUUUCAGAAGCUUCGGUCGUAUUAUACCACGGCGGUAAUGAAUUUUCGCGCUGUCACAAUGGAAAUUACGUCCGUCGCAGGGUGUGUGUGUAUUGUUGGUACACCGACGAGAUAUAUACGUGCUGCUCGAAGUAGUAACUCUGACUCUGUGGCUACGAUCGAAGUCUCACGAGGCCGUUUCCUCUUCUCCGGAGAGACACCACGAGAGAGUCACGGUCUUCGAGAGAGAAAUUGUUGCGUGGAGGAGAGGAUUCGGCGCGUUUCGAAAAGAAAUUUCAAGAUUGCGUGCUCUUUUAACGCCUUCUAGGAUAUUACCGUACCAACGGUGGAUCGUGUCGAUGAAGCCAAUUGUAGGAGGCGAGAUGACGACGAAACGUGGCGACCGUCUCGGCGUCUUCCUCUUACAAGCCUUGUCACACAAUAUCUAUCUUCAAUAUCUUCGGACACUAUCCAGAUGGCCAAUUAUUCGGAUAAUAAAUAAAUGUGAAACUUCAAAUUCGGGUUAUCCAGAGAUUCAGAUUUUUCAUAAUACAGAGCCGAGCAAUUGAAGCUUCCAAUACGAAUCCAAAUUCGCAGAAGAGUCGACCAAACAGACACAUGCGCAGCAUUCCAGAUCCCUCUGGAAAAUUUAACAGUUUCAACGAAUCAAUAUUUUUUAACUGCAAUUUAAUGACUUAACUCGAGAAGACGAUUGUGUCUAUUUAUAUAUUUAGAAAUAAUAAUUAUUUCGAAUAAUUUUUGUAUUAAA